rnacentral:rRNA from 1 species
GCUUGCUUCCCCGCCGGCGAGCGGCGGACGGGUGAGUAAUGUCUGGGGAUCUGCCUGAUGGAGGGGGAUAACUACUGGAAACGGUAGCUAAUACCGCAUAACGUCGCAAGACCAAAGUGGGGGACCUUCGGGCCUCACGCCAUCGGAUGAACCCAGAUGGGAUUAGCUAGUAGGUGGGGUAACGGCUCACCUAGGCGACGAUCCCUAGCUGGUCUGAGAGGAUGACCAGCCACACUGGAACUGAGACACGGUCCAGACUCCUACGGGAGGCAGCAGUGGGGAAUAUUGCACAAUGGGGGAAACCCUGAUGCAGCCAUGCCGCGUGUGUGAAGAAGGCCUUCGGGUUGUAAAGCACUUUCAGCGGGGAGGAAGGCGAUAGGGUUAAUAACCCUGUCGAUUGACGUUACCCGCANAAUAAGCACCGGCUAACUCCGUGCCAGCAGCCGCGGUAAUACGGAGGGUGCAAGCGUUAAUCGGAAUGACUGGGCGUAAAGCGCACGCAGGCGGUCUGUUAAGUUGGAUGUGAAAUCCCCGGGCUUAACCUGGGAACUGCAUUCAAAACUGACAGGCUAGAGUCUCGUAAAGGGGGGUAGAAUUCCAGGUGUAGCGG